rnacentral:rRNA from 1 species
UACGUAGGAUGCAAGCGUUGUCCGGAAUUACUGGGCGUAAAGCGUGCGCAGGCGGUGAUGUAAGACAGUUGUGAAAUCCCCGGGCUCAACCUGGGAACUGCAUCUGUGACUGCAUCGCUGGAGUGCGGCAGAGGGGGAUGGAAUUCCGCGUGUAGCAGUGAAAUGCGUAGAUAUGCGGAGGAACACCGAUGGCGAAGGCAAUCCCCUGGGCCUGCACUGACGCUCAUGCACGAAAGCGUGGGGAGCAAACAGG